GCCGUGGUAGAGAAAUGGUUAACUCGUCGGCCUUCUACUUGCUCUCGAAAGAGAAAUUGGAAGCCGAAGAUUCUGGGUUCGAGUCCCAGUCACGGUU